UACGUAGGGUGCAAGCGUUGUCCGGAAUUAUUGGGCGUAAAGAGCUCGUAGGCGGUUUGUCGCGUCGGCUGUGAAAACUGGAGGCUUAACCUUCAGCCUGCAGUCGAUACGGGCAAACUAGAGUGUGGUAGGGGAGACUGGAAUUCCUGGUGUAGCGGUGAAAUGCGCAGAUAUCAGGAGGAACACCGGGCGGCGAAGGCGGAUCUCUGGGCCGAUACUGACGCUGAGGAGCGAAAGCGUGGGGAGCAAACAGG
rnacentral:rRNA from 1 species